GACGCAGUAUAAAAGGCUGCUGUCAGGGUUGUUUGUUCCUUUUUGGUGGUGGGUCUCUCCUCAUUUGGGGGGAUGGUUCCUGCCACUCCCUCUCCUCUCAAAGGAGGAGAACAGAAUUCCUGUCCAAGGCAGGGACACUAGUGUGCUAGUGCACUAGUGUGCAGAACAGCAAAAUGGAGAUUGAUUGGAUAUAUCUGGAAAGUGAAAACAUUGAAGACAAGCGAUUGGAGGCGCUGAGAAGUUGCCUGUUCUGUUGGCUUUGAUGCAGCUGAGAAAAUAAUUGACUCAACAAGAACUUUGAACUUACAAGCAACACAACAAACCAGCAUGCAACCUAAGAAACAAAAACUAAGAAAUUACCGUCUGUGCAACUUGAAGCAAAACAAAUGAAAUGUGUGAAAUAUUUUCAAUUAUUUCUUUUAUUUGUUUUCUUUGCUUUUGGUUGUCUGCGUUGCUUGGUUAGCUGAGACAGGGAGUGCUCAGCAGGGAAAAACAACUCCCAAUAAACACAACAAAAUCUUGAA